CAGCAGUAGCCGCGGUAAUACGAAGGGUGCAAGCGUUACUCGGAAUUACUGGGCGUAAAGCGUGCGUAGGUGGUGGUUUAAGUCCGUUGUGAAAGCCCUGGGUUCAACCUGGGAAUUGCAGUGGAUACUGGAUCACUAGAGUGUGGUAGAGGAUAGUGGAAUUUCCGGUGUAGCAGUGAAAUGCGUAGAGAUCGGAAGGAACAUCUGUGGCGAAGGCGACUAUCUGGGCCAACACUGACACUGAGGCACGAAAGCGUGGGGAGCAAACAGGAUUAGAUACCCGCGUAGUCCCUGUCUCUUAUAC
rnacentral:rRNA from 1 species